AUCCUAUCGCCGGCGAGUUGUGAGGACGAUGCGGCGUCAGGCUGAGGUGAGCGCCAUUCGUCUUCUCCACGCCGACCUUGUUCCGAUCGGCACCUCCUCAACGCCGCCACCUCAUCCGUCCAUACAGCGCCGCAGCCAUCGCCUCCCCGACUCCCGUCGUUGUCCACCCCGUCCCAUUCCACGACCGUCGUCCAUACCCCCCACCGCUGUGAAAUCUGCCGCGCAGAGGUAGGAGAUGGCAGAUGCGGUGGCAUCCAGGGCUCCCGGUGGUUCGACGACGGAGACAGCCUAUUCCCGGCGGCGGCGAGCUCGACGACGAGCAGAUCGGGAGGCUUGUCCACCACCUCGAGUGGCCCUCCAUGGGUGCCUCCCCUCCCCCAUGGAUUUGGUGGAAGCCAAGUCCUUUCACGUCGCCUCUGCGCCGGCUGUUGAUCCCCUCCACCCGGUUCAGCGGCGGAGACGGCGUGCUGAUUCGAUGGCUGGAUCUGCUUCAUGCAGCGGAGGCCCCGCCGCAUCCGUCGCACCGUGUCCAUCGCGGCCUGGGUAUCCCCCUACCCAGCGCUAAUAUCCUCGGCCCGCGCGACGAAUCCGAGAGAGGAAGCGCGACCAUGCGUCUUCUCCGUGUGCCAUAGGCGCAGGCGCAUUAUGCAGUGUUGUGACCGCCGACGGCAAGAAUGCGCGUCAAGGCGGCCAAGCCGUGUGGCGGGCGGUGGCUGUGUGCCUGCUUGCUGCGUGAGGCUUAGCCAGCUUGCUAACGAGCAGGGAUCUGGAGCAAGGGAGCUGUUAUUCUUGAUUCUUUGAUUUACGAUUGUUCAAUUGAGCAAACGAGCAGGAGUCCAACAAUUUUAUCUCAAAAAUGCAUGCUUGCUAACGAGCAGGAAUUUAGAGCAAGUGAACUAGUUUCCGACCUUGCUAUAUUUUUUAGAUAAAAUUGUUUGACUGUUUGUGAAAAUCAUAGCUAAUGUGCAUUUGUUUACUUCAGAGAUAAAAUUGAUGGAUCCAGUGUGAAAAUCCUAGCUCAUGUGCCUUUUUUUUCUCAAAUGUCAGUAUGGAGAUGUAAUAGACAUACCAUUCUGUAAAUAUAUCUUGGCAUUUUCCUGAUUUCCAGAUGUUAUCUUGGUUUUGUACUGCAUGAUUUAAUGUUCAGUAAUCUAUUCUUAUAUUCAGAAGUUCAGAUGAAUGGUAAGAAGACAUCAGGACCAUUAUAACAAGCUAGAAUAGUCAAGGAAUGGAUAUGAUGAUGAUGUUUUUACCAUCUAGACUAGGUGCUACAUGUAAAAUUGAUUUUGUGAUCAUAUGUCCUGGCAUUUUCCUGAUUUCCAGGUGAGGCUACUGAAUCCACAGUGGACCAAGCCGAUGAGACGGACUCCGACGCGGAUGCAGCUGGCAUGGGGAUUUGGUGUCGGCCGUGAGUCUCUGGCACCGGGGCUGGUGGUGGUGUUUGGAUGUAGUCAUCGGUUGUAAUUUUCCUUCUUUUAAGAUCACCAAGAAUAUAUAUAUUCUUGUCUUCCAUGUGUAAUUUCUAUUGAUCAUGUGACAAAACCAACAUACAGCUGUCAUGUGUAAGUUUCGAUGUGUAGUCAUUUCCAUGUGUAAGUUUCGAAAGCACCUGAUAGUAAAAAUACUACUAUCACCAAUAA